GGAUGCGAUCAUACCAGCACUAAAGCACCGGAUCCCAUUAGAACUCCGAAGUUAAGCGUGCUUGGGCGAGAGUAGUACUAGUAUGGGUGACCUCCUGGGAAGUCCUCGUGUUGCAUUCC
rnacentral:rRNA from 2 species